CACGAUAAGAUGCUCAACAGCAAAAGCAGCUCAAACAAUUAGGGAAAUGCACAGCAGAACCACAACGAGAUAGCACUUCACACCCACAAUGACUACAAUUGGAGGCAGAGCCUCCAAUUCUGCUGCUGUCUCCAGUUCCUGGCAGCUGCGUGUAGGGGGGCCCAUAGGUGGGGACCGAAGUGGGACCAGGCAUGAGCUAUCUGAGUGCAACCUUGGAUCUGACA